UAUAAAGCCAACCCAGCUCCAUAUAUUUCUACACUGUGCAUACAUACGCUCAUUUGGCAAUCGCUUUACCCAACUUUGGAGUUAUUUGACACCGCUGGUUACCGGUCACCACCUGCUGCAUGGCUCUAGAGAUAAUUCAUGGGCUUUGUCGAUCGUGGGAGAUGUGCCACCACCGAAGCCAAUACCACAUCCGUCACGAGAAGUGCACGCACAUCCAAAUGCACAUGAUCAGGUUAAUGUUUCUAUGCCACCUUUUAAUGGUCGUUUUAAGCCUGAUUUAUAUAUUGAAUGGGAGUUUGAAAUAAAUGCUAUAUUUGCUUCCCAUAAUUUGUGUGAACAUAAAAAAGUUAAGGUCGCUAUUGAUACAUUCACUGGUUUUGCUACUGUUUGGUGGAAUGAACAUUGUCAGUUAUACCCUGAUUAUAUACCUACUACUUGGGAUGAUUUAAAACUUGUCAUGAGAGAUAGAUUUGUCAAUGUUUAUUAUACUCAUGACAUGAUUAAAAAACUACAACAUUUAAAACAAGGUAGUGACACUGUAACUAUGUAUUAUGAUGAUUUACGAACUACCUUGUUGCACUCCUUUUUAGAUGAAAAUGAAGAUGAUUUUAUGGAUAGAUUUUGGGAAGGAUUAAACCGUAAUAUUUAAGAGAUACUAAUUCAUGAAGAGUGUUAUCCUAUGGACCGUUUCUUUCGUCUUGCUUGCAAAGCUGAACAGGAAAUAAAAUGGGGUGAUGUCCAUAAGGAGAAUAAGCGCAAGGUGCACAUUCCAAGAGAUGAUACGGUUGUUCCUUCAACUAAUAGGCGUACUAUGACAACCACAUCCGUUAUUGUGAGGACUACAUCACCUCCACCAUGUCAACAUCACCUCCGAGAGUGCCUGCAUCAUCUGAGUUGAUCAUAAGAGCCACAUUUCAGAUUAAGCAACGCCGAUGACGGCUUUGUUUUCAAGAAGGGGAGGAUGAUGAGGACAUAGCUACCAUAGUUACACCCACAUGCCCAAUUAUUAUACGUAUUGGAUCGAUUAGUAGAGCUCACGCAUGCCAGUUAUAUUAUCAGGUACUUUUGUUUCUUGGUAAUGUUUCUAAUGUUCAUGAGAAUAUGAUGCUGCCUAACUUAGAUACAUUUGUGUUGCUUACAAUUGAAAGGCCUACCUCAGACAAGAAGGAUGAACAUUGGAGCAUGAUCAAGCACAAAGAUGAAGGCGCGUGUGAAGAGAACAAGAAUGGAGGUUCCAGUGGAGAUUUCCGGACUUUGAAGCCACCAUGAUGACAUACAAAGAAGAUGGACGAAAUAUACAAGAUGGCCUUUCAUAAAUUUCAUCCAUAGAUUACCAUUGGUGUUGCGCCACCUUAUUUUUGGGCUAGGCCCAUGUAAUCUAUUUUUAGAGUCCGUAUUGUAGGGGAAAUGACUUAGGAGGGGUUUUAGUCCCACCUUGCCAUGGGUGGACGAACUCCCCUCUCUUUUCCCUAAAAAUAUAGCCCUUAAGGCUUAGACUUGGGUUUUAUUUAGUUAAAAGUUAGCCAU